rnacentral:rRNA from 1 species
AACGAACGCUGGCGGCAGGCUUAACACAUGCAAGUCGAGCGCCCCGCAAGGGGAGCGGCAGACGGGUGAGUAACGCGUGGGAACGUACCCUUUGCUACGGAAUAGCUCCGGGAAACUGGAAUUAAUACCGUAUGUGCCCUACGGGGGAAAGAUUUAUCGGCAAAGGAUCGGCCCGCGUUGGAUUAGCUAGUUGGUGGGGUAAUGGCCUACCAAGGCGACGAUCCAUAGCUGGUCUGAGAGGAUGAUCAGCCACAUUGGGACUGAGACACGGCCCAAACUCCUACGGGAGGCAGCAGUGGGGAAUAUUGGACAAUGGGGGAAACCCUGAUCUAGCCAUGCCGCGUGAGCGAUGAAGGCCUUAGGGUUGUAAAGCUCUUUCAGUGGGGAAGAUAAUGACGGUACCCACAGAAGAAGCCCCGGCUAACUCCGUGCCAGCCGCCGCGGUAACAC